rnacentral:lncRNA from 10 species
UCAUUUAUUCAUUCAUUCAACAAGCAUUUACUGAGCUCAUACUCUUUGCCAAACACCAUCCUAGGUAUGCUAUGGAGAGAGAAAUCCACACUCUUCUGCCUGCAAGAAGCUCACAUCUUAGUGAAGAACAUAGAGUGUGAAGAGACCUUUCUAACAUGGCAUGAAAUGUGCCCUGAUAGAGAUACACUCAGAAUGCAGGAAGACACAGGAAGGACAUAUGGAAGGGCUUCAUGUGGGCAGUGACACAAAUUGAAUACUGAAAGCCAACAGUGUCUGGAAAGAGUUCUCUUAAUAUUCAUCAUUCGCGAAUAGUAACAGCUCCAGUCUGCAGCUCCCAAGGUGAUCGACGCAGAAGAUGGUGAUUUCUGCAUUUCCAACUGAGGUACCUGGUUCAUCUCACUGGGACUGGUUGGACAGUGGGUGCAGCCCACGGAGGGCAAGCCGAAGCAGGGCGAGGCAUCACCUCACCUGGGAAGUGCAAGGGGUCGGGAGAUUUCCUUUUCCUAGCCAAGGGAAGCCAUGACAAACUGCACCUGGAAAAUCGGGACACUCCUGCCCAAAUACUGUGC